UCUUACCGCAUUUGGUGUUCCCGCAUUUGAUAUUUGCAUUUCAAACGCACACAGCAAUAAUAAUUAAAUUUUAUUAAAGACAAGGAGAGAUGUAGUAGGCUAAGAAAUAAGGGUCACUAAGAUGGAUAUAAUAAACGUCACUGUUAUUCUGUAUACCACUAAAUGGAAAUGUGUUUUGGGUUCUCUACAACAACUACCACUUCAAAACUGAUGUUAUCACAAAUACUAAUUUGUUCGACCGCUUCUCUAAAUACCCCACAUCGAUGUGUAUUUCAGGGGCUGUUUUCUUAAGAGUAUAAGUGCGAAAUUGACUUUCUUGAACCGAUAAAAAGAUAAAAGAGCGAGAUUACAUCGGAUUGGUCUGGUGUCUUCACCGCACUUAUUCGUCAUCUCAUUUUGUUAGCAAUCCCACACUUCUAAUCGCACUUGUUAUUUGCACAAUGAGCUAUACAUUCAUCAACAUAAAAAAAA